GAGAUCGCGGCAUGUUCGUUGACGGUCUUGCGUGGCGGUUAGCUUUGGCCGUUAGCUUUGCUAAUCUACUAAAUUAAACAACCCGAGCUAUGGACAUCUUUUCUCCGCUGCUGAGCCAAGGGGGUGAGGAUCUACCUUUCCCGGUGGCUGAGAACCAUUAGCGGCUGUGAGGGAGUUUGGACCGUCGUUUCUCACACAUCCCCUGUUAAAAUAUCUGAAUAGAUUCUUCGCACAUGAAGAGUGGGCCAGUGCACAAAUACAACAUGCAUCAAUUUUCAAUUCUGGGUGAAUCAGGGAGGAAAGAAGAAAUCUGAAGAAAUUAAGAUCAUCCUCUUCAGUCAGGAGCUUCAGCCCACACAUCCUCACCCUCUGCAGUGGGACUUCAGUUUGGUUCUUCUUCUACUUUGACUUAACCCUGUUUCAUGUUGAGCAAAUGCUGGACGGACAUCGUAUGGACGUU